UGUCUAAGUCCAAGCUGUGUUCACACGGCGAGACCGCGGACGGCUCAUUAAAUCAGUCGUGGUCCAAAUGGGCCAGUGCAAAUCCUACUUGGAUAACUGUGGUAAUUCCAGAGCUAAUACAUGCAACUGAUAUCCCGAAGGCGUGGCUGUGCUUGCUUGUCUUGCGCUUUCAUUGCUCUGACGGAUGCUUUUAUUAGACCAAGCCGCUGAGGACUUGGGGGUUCGCUCUCUUGUUCGACUCGUGUUAUGGUGACUCUGGAUAACCAAUUCUGACAAGCGCACGUACUUCUCUUCUGAGCGAGACGGCGCUGCCACUUUCGAGUGUCUGCCUUAUCAGCUAUCAACCGUUCGUUAUGCGCGACCGAUGGCUUUGACGGGUAACGGGGAAUCAGGGUUCGAUUCCGGAGAGGCAGCCUGAGAGACGGCUACCACGUCCAAGGACGGCAGCAGGCACGCAAAUUACCCAAUCCCAGCAAAUGGGGGAGGUAGUGACGAAAUCUAACGAUGCGGGCGCCCUUUCUGGGGCCCCGCAAUCGGAAUGGGCACUUUCUAAACAACCUGUUGAGAACCUACUGAAGGGCAAGUCUGGUGCCAGCAGCCGCGGUAAUUCCAGCUUCAGCAGCAUCUAUUAAAGUUGCUGCGGUUAAAAGGCUCGCAGUUGAAUGUCUGUAUCGAGCGCAGGUCAGGUGGACGUUGGGGCGUGGAAGUACGGGCUGUUGGAUGUUCGGAGGGCUUCGUGCUCGACGGCUCCUUCGGCUUUUCCACACACCCCCGUCCGUAACAAGCCUCCUCGCUCGGGUACAUAACGGGAAUCGGUCAAACGGAGUGUGGUCUUGCUUUUGGAGGUUAACGCUUUCAGGAGUGUGGCUACGUUAAGCUCCAUCGGUUUCACGGUCACCUUGAGUAAAUCAGAGUGCUCAAAGCAGUCGUAGGGGCCUUGCGCCCUGUGAACAGUCUUGACGGACUGACUUGGUUUUGCAUGGCAUGUCGGAAGACGACGUCGUGUGCUGGCUCAGAGGAUAAAUCAGUGGUACAAGCCAGCCUCGACGUAAUGAUUAAAAGGGACGGUCGAGGGCAUUGGUAUUGCGAGGCGAGAGGUGAAAUUCUGUGACCCCCGCAAGACCUCCUGAAGCGAAAGCGUCUGCCAAGGACGUUUUCAUUAAUCAUGAACGAAAGUUAGAGGAUCGAAGGCGAUCAGAUACCGCCCUAGUUCUAACCCUAAACGAUGCCAACCAUCAAUCCGCGCGUAGCACCCUUCUUAACGGGCUCGGCGGGCAGCUCCCCACUCACGGGAAACCAGAGCCUCUGGGUUCCGGGGGGAGUCUGGUUGCAAAGCUGAAACUUAAAGGAAUUGACGGAAAGGCACCACCAGGCGUGGAGCCUGCGGCUUAAUUUGACUCAACACGGGCCAUCUCACCAGGCCAGCACUCUUGUACGAUUGACAGAUUGAGAGCUCUUUCUCGAUUCAGUGGAUGGUGGUGCAUGGCCGUUCUUAGUUGGUGGAGUGAUCUGUCUGGUUAAUUCCGAUAACGAACGAGACUCUCCCCUGCUAACUAGUCGGUUGGAUC
rnacentral:rRNA from 1 species